GGGAAAUAUGGCAACACGUUUCUGUAGCACAGACUAAAAUGGUUUUCAUAAGAUGUUAAGGUUAGUUUAAGAAUACAACUUAUAAAUAUUCUAGGUGACAUUUCUUGGAUGGCCUGGACCAGCAAGUGACAAGGUCCUGAGAGAAAGAGGGCCAGGAGAGAGAGGAUAAGGAGACUGAUGCUACCAGCUGAUGUGUCAACAGUUUCCCUCCAGAAAGGGUUCCUCCUGUCAGUCACUGCAUUGCUGUCCUCACUCACCCACACCGUCUCCAGGAGGCUGAGGCAGGAGGAUCACAAGUUCAAGGUCAGCCUCAGCUAAGUGACUUGGAGCCCAGUCUGCAUUACAGGGACUUUUUAAGACACAUGGAGAAGGAAAACUCAGGUGUGCCGUCUACAGAUCUUCUGAGCCCUGGGUACUAUGGAGGCAAUGACUCUGGGUCCCUCAGCCUCGUGGCUACACACUCCUGUGUUGAAACAUGAACACCUAUUUGACAGUAUCUGGAGAUGAUUGUGUCUUGAGUGGAAACCCCUUGUGAGUGGGAUUAGUACCCUCGUGAAAGAAUGGGAUUGUACCACAGAGCCAGGAAGCUUGCUGGUCUCCCUGCCCUGUGAGAACACAGAGAGAAAGCACUGACUAUAAGGAGCCAGACAAUGAAUGUGGUAGCAUCUAUGAUCUCAGACUUCUCAGGCUCCAGAACUGUGAGAAGUAAACUUCUUAUUGUGUGUAAGCUUCCCAGCCUCUGGUGCUUUGUUACAGCAGCCCUAACAGGUUAAAAAAAAAAAAAAACCCAAAAACCUAAAACAAAAAGACCACUAAGAUAAGAAGUGGCAGGCACUCUCAGGACUAUUUCAUACAUUUGUGGUAAAAACAGGAAACAAAGAGAUUCAGAAGUCCCUUAAGCAUUCAAGCCAAGACAGAGAGAAUAUGGAUGACUAGAGAAGAGUCCAGUCUGCCAACAUCCAGCACCAACAGAAGGCUCACUUGGCACCAGCAUCCUUUUCAUUUUCAUUUUUCCUGUCCCUCAUAUGAAAUUCCUUCCUCCUGCUCUCUCUCCUCCUGUGAACAGAGAGAGCUUUAUAACAAUCAAGACCAUUUCCAGGCCAAGACAACCAAUUAAAAGUAACACUUCUCUAAAACUGCAAACAGUCCCCUCUCCAACGCAAACUUUUUAAUCAAGGAGGCUGCCUUCCACAUCCUUUCCUAAUAGAGCUUGGCCUCCAUCCACCAACAUUAAUCACUCCAAGAUGGCCCGAGAACCUAUGUAAUGUCACCGCCUAAUUCUUUUAUUAAAGGUCGUUGGUCUUUGACUGAGAAGAUGUGUUUUGUCUCCCAUCCCCAGCCAUCUGCCCCACAGUCUGAGUCUAAAGACGUCUAUUCUCUCAUCAAGGACAGUUGGAGACCUCUGCUGAGCCCCUUGUCUUUGAAACCUCUCUAAAGUCCCAAGACGCUUUGAAAUGCAGCACAUUUUGGCCAAGGCGCUUGAAUGUAGCAGAAGUCUCCAAAAGACACAUUCAGCUCUGGAACCUGACUUUUCCACUUUCUUUGGUAGGGGUUGGAAUAUGAAAACACCGCACUUUGCAAACUAGCAUUUUUGGGGAAGGUAUUCAAUUUGCGAUUGUCCCCGGGAAAGCACUAUCCUGAGCUAUAGCCAGGAUAUACAGCCAGGAACUGUUUUCUCACUGGCCAAACUUUGGAGACUGGUAAGUACAAAGGACUUUGCCGCUAAGGAUCGUAAACAACGGAGUUGAUGAAAGUUUGUUGAGCAAUAAUGUCUGACCCAGGAACACGGUGCAAUACAGUUUGGAGCUACCAGGCAUGUCCGGGGACGCUGGAGGGAGAAGAACGGUUCAGAGAGCAGUGGCUCCUGAGGACCGCCCAGUGGAUGUUCUAAUGGGUGGAGAGGAGCUUUCCACGUGACGUCCCUGAGCUGCUCAUGGAAUGGGACUGUGGUGGGAAGCCUCAGGCUGGACCAGUGUGCUCGGCAGAGCUUGCCAGUCAAGUGUACAAGGGACGCGUGUGCACGUGUGUGAGCGCGCCUGGGCAGGUUAGCGUGGUGUGUGGUUCGUAACAGAUUCUUUGGAGCUUCUCUCUGUGCACAUAUCCCAUGCAGUCUGCAAAGCAAUGAGGCUUAUUUAACAUUCACUGUGGGACAAAUAAGAGAAAAUUAAAAGAGCAAUUUUAGGAGGGAAUAAUUGUUUUCCAUACACUAUAAUUACAACUGCCUGUAAAUGCCGCUAUCAUAAACGAAUCUGCCGUUUAGAGUUCUCUUAAAUUCUUUCCGUAAUGAACACGCUCUGAAGGCGGGAGACCUCGGCGGCGCUCCAGUUGGGGAUGCUGGGCCUGCACUGACCCCUGGCGUCUGCCUUGGGCAGAGAUCUCCCACCGCAGGCACAAAGCCUGGUACCCAGCUGGGCGAACUCCCUUGUCCUUUUCUGUCCUUGGCUUUACAAACAUCCCGGAGACCCUUGGGACAGGAGUAAAUCUUAGAAUCUCUGACUUCCAAGGUCUCCUGAGGCGAUUUUUAUAAUAUUUGCGUCGACAUUGUUUCUCCUCUCUGGCUCUCUUCCUCAGCAAACAGCACCUUUCAAUUGCCACUCAAAAACCUAAAGGUCAUUUCUGAUCAUCCCUUCUUUCCUACCAUAGGGGUGAGCAAGCCAGGACCCCUCAGACACCGAGACUUGGUGACGGUGUGCCUCCGAUGGAUCUCUCCAUCCAUCCCGGAGAGACACCAGCCACCACCACCCUCCCUGGAUAGUACACAUCAGCCUCUGAGUGACUUUCUUGCUUGAGACUUAGUGUCUCCAGGGAUCUUCCACUUUUUAACUUACGAAAUUUAUUCCUCAAGUAACCUUUGAUGAACCAGAAAGACUGCUGUUAAUUACUUUUAAUAAGUCAUGGUGUGAACUUGGCACAAUCACUUGGGCAAUCUUCCUCUUUGUUAGGGUUGGGGCAAGAACAGGGCUUUUCUAUCUUUUCUUUUUAAGGCUUUCCAUUAUCAAUUCCCUUAGUGCCCCGCCCUUUCCCUUUGU